UGCCAAAUAAAGGAGGGAUACAGCCUGGGCUGUGGUGCAGGGACCAGUGAGGAAGUCGGCCACUGAAAAGACAGCAGCAGCUAUCAAUUAACUUAAUUCAAUGGUGUCAUAGAAUGGGAGGAGAGGUGCCCCCCUUCAGAGCAGGAGCCCGGCGGCAGAUGACUCCGUUGCCUCCCAGAGUUCUGCCUCUGCUGUGCACUGACAUUUUAGUCAGAAAUAAUUUGGAUUGAUACCAAAGAUAUCUCAAAAGAUUACCCCACAAAAGCAGAGAUUAGCUCUGUGCAUGCAUGAGAAACAGAGGACGAUGAUGGACAGCUCAGCUCCAGGAGUCAUUCUGUACCCAGCUCACAAUCUAUGGGUGGAGGGUUCACAGCCCAGCUAACAAAUGGGUUAAGAGAGACACAAGACACUUGAACGUUUGCAUAUCAUGUUUAUUUCCAUUAGGAAAUACUGGCUAAAUUCUACAGGUAAAUACAGCUUGAAGUGUAGGUGAAGUCUGAAAUGG